GAAGGAGAGGGGAGAAAAUACAGGGGAAAAAAAGCAGAGCUACAGCAUAGUCUGAAAACCAUACAUCAGACCGACAUCUGUGGAGAUAUAAUCGAAACGAAAUGUGAAACAGAAAUGUUCUAAGAUGCCAGUAACAUCCUUUUGAAAACUGGAAAUGCUCAAGAUAAACUACAGAUCCUGCACAAAUUACAUGAAGUUCAAUUUUUCACUGUUUAUUUUAAACAGUGGACACUUUUAGAUAAGCUAAGCCUUUGGUGGCAGACAAGAUCGUGGGAUUUCUCCACAGGAUGAUGCCAGAUUGGUUUUCUUUAAGGGAAUGGAAGGAUGCCAACAAAUGGUAACUGGAAGCAAUGGAACUUUAUCCCAUUAGGCAAAUAUUACCUAUAGUUGGGAUUUUCCAGCCCUGUCAAAGGUGGGACCAGCUGCAGGCAAGGCGGUGCCUCAGCCAGAAGCCCAUUGACUUGUGAUGGGACAGGAAGAACGCGACAGCAGGCAGAUGCAGAAAAUCCAGCCCAAUGUAUCAUGCUUUUCGCAAACAAAGAAAAAUUUCCCACUUUUCCAUGCAGAUGGCAAUCCUUUAAAUGUGCCGUAGUUAUGUAUCUCCAUAAAUGAAAACUGGCUGUUGUUAUAUUUACUUAAUAAAUUGUGAUUUCAUAGCAAUGGAACACAUUAGUUUAGAUUCACA